rnacentral:rRNA from 1 species
GCAUAACGCGAAGAACCUUACCAGGCCUUGACAUCCAAUGAACUUUCUAGAGAUAGAUUGGUGCCUUCGGGAACAUUGAGACAGGUGCUGCAUGGCUGUCGUCAGCUCGUGUCGUGGGAUGUUGGGUUAAGUCCCGUAACGAGCGCAACCCUUGUCCUUAGUUACCAGCACGUAAUGGUGGGCACUCUAAGGAGACUGCCGGUGACAAACCGGAGGAAGGUGGGGAUGACGUCAAGUCAUCAUGGCCCUUACGGCCUGGGCUACACACGUGCUACAAUGGUCGGUACAGAGGGUUGCCAAGCCGCGAGGUGUAGCUAAUCCCAGAAAACCGAUCGUAGUCCGGAUCGCAGUCUGCAACUCGACUGCGUGAAGUCGGAAUCGCUAGUAACCGCGAAUCAGAAUGUCGCGGUGAAUACGUUCCCGGGUCUUGUACACACCG